AACGAACGCUGGCGGCAGGCUUAACACAUGCAAGUCGAGCGCACCGCAAGGGGAGCGGCAGACGGGUGAGUAAGGCGUGGGAAUCUACCCAUCUCUACGGGAUAACGCAUGGAAACGUGUGCUCAUCCUGUAUACGUCCUUCGGGAGAAAGAUUUAUCGGAGAGGGAUGGGCCGUAGUUGGAUUAGCUAGUUGGUGGGGUAAAGGCCUACCAAGGCGACGAUCCAUAGAUGGUCUGAGAGGCUGAUCAGACACACUGGGACUGAGACACGGCCCAGACGCCUAUGGGAGGCAGGAGUGGGGAAUAUUGGACAAUGGGCGCAAGCCUGAUCCAGCCAUGCCGCGUGAGUGAUGAAGGCACUAGGGUCGUAAAGCUCUUUCACCGGUGAAGAUAAUGACGGUAACCGGAGAAGAAGCCCCGGCUAACUUCGUGCCAGCAGCCGCAGUAACAC
rnacentral:rRNA from 1 species